rnacentral:rRNA from 1 species
AAUGGAGGGAACUCUGACGCAGCAACGCCGCGUGAGUGACGAAGGUCUUCGGAUCGUAAAACUCUGUCUUUGGGGACGAAGAGAGUGACGGUACCCAAGGAGGAAGCCCCGGCUAACUACGUGCCAGCAGCCGCGGUAAUACGUAGGGGGCGAGCGUUGUCCGGAAUUACUGGGCGUAAAGGGUGCGUAGGCGGCCGAUCAAGUCAGAUGUGAAAUACCACGGCUCAACUGUGGGGGUGCAUAUGAAACUGGUUGGCUUGAGUGCAGGAGAGGAAAGUGGAAUUCCUAGUGUAGCGGUGAAAUGCGUAGAGAUUAGGAGGAACACCAGUGGCGAAGGCGACUUUCUGGACUGUAACUGACGCUGAGGCACGAAAGCGUGGGGAGCGAA